AAUGAACGCUGGCGGCAUGCCUUACACAUGCAAGUCGAACGGCAGCAUGACCUAGCUUGCUAGGUUGAUGGCGAGUGGCGAACGGGUGAGUAAUGCAUCGGAACGUGCCUUUUAGUGGGGGAUAACGUAGCGAAAGUUACGCUAAUACCGCAUAUUCUCUGAGGAGGAAAGCAGGGGACCUUCGGGCCUUGCGCUAGAAGAGCGGCCGAUGUCGGAUUAGCUAGUUGGUGAGGUAAAGGCUCACCAAGGCAACGAUCCGUAGCGGGUCUGAGAGGAUGAUCCGCCACACUGGGACUGAGACACGGCCCAGACUCCUACGGGAGGCAGCAGUGGGGAAUUUUGGACAAUGGGCGCAAGCCUGAUCCAGCCAUGCCGCGUGAGUGAAGAAGGCCUUCGGGUUGUAAAGCUCUUUCGGCUGGGAAGAAAUCGCACCCUCUAAUACAGGGUGUGGAUGUCGGUACCAGCAUAAGAAGCACCGGCUAACUACGUG
rnacentral:rRNA from 1 species